rnacentral:rRNA from 1 species
GACGAACGCUGGCGGCGUGCUUAACACAUGCAAGUCGAACGGAAAGGCCCUGCUUUUGUGGGGUGCUCGAGUGGCGAACGGGUGAGUAACACGUGAGUAACCUGCCCUUGACUUUGGGAUAACUUCAGGAAACUGGGGCUAAUACCGGAUAGGAGCUCCUGCUGCAUGGUGGGGGUUGGAAAGUUUCGGCGGUUGGGGAUGGACUCGCGGCUUAUCAGCUUGUUGGUGGGGUAGUGGCUUACCAAGGCUUUGACGGGUAGCCGGCCUGGGAGGGUGAACGGCGACAUUGGGACUGAGAUAGCGCCCCGACUCCUACGGGCGGCAGCAGUGGAGAAUAUUCCACAAGGCGCGGAAGCCUGAUGCAGCAACGCGGCGUGCGGGAUGACGGCCCUCGGGUUGUAAACCGCUUUCGCCUGUGACGAAGCGUGAGUGACGGUAAUGGGUAAAGAAGCACCGGCUAACUACGUG